UUUUAAUUUAGGACUGGAAUGAAAGAGUAAACCGGGAGAAUUUUUUUUUAUUUAAAUAAAUUAAUUUUACUUUUUAGUAAAAAGGCUAAAAUGUCUCUUUUAGACAAGAAGACCCUAUAAAACUUUAUAUUUUUUUUUGAUUAAUUUUGAAAAAAAAAUAUUUCACUGGGGCGGUGAGAAAAUAGUCUUUUCUUUAAAAAAUAGACAAACUUGUUAUGAUACCUAGAAUUUCUAAAAAAGAAGUAAGUUACUUUAGGGAUAACAGCUUAAUUCACUUAGAAAGUUCAAAUUGACAAGUGAGUUUAUGACCUCGAUGUUGAAUUAAAAU
rnacentral:rRNA from 1 species